AAAAAGCUUAUACAUUCUGAUAAUGUUACAAGUGUAAGAUCAAACAACAUGAAAAAUCACAAAAAUAUGGGAGAAUAUAUAUGAAGGCCCAAGCCGAUGCUCCUGCUCGUCUCAUGAUGCUUUCUUCGUCUUGGCAAUGCUCAGGAGGUCACCAAAAAGCUUGUCUUCAGGCUUCGUCGGCUUCAUUGGUUGCCCCGCAGGGGUUGGCGCCGUCGUAGUCUGGUACAAUGAGGUCAUCCCUAUGGACGAGUUGUCCUGCACCGUGAGGCCAUACAUGCUCUGAGACAGCCCGUUCGCGCCAGGGUACCCAUACAUUCCCGCCGUCCCCUGGUUGUUGUAGUAGUGUGCAGCAGCCACAGCAGGAUGCUGCAUGUACCCAGCCAACCGACCACCAUACAUCGGCUGCUGCUGCGGCAUUGCUCCAUACUGUGCGACUGGCAUUUGUUGCGGGUACAUCAUGACUGGCUGCGAUCCGCCAUAC
rnacentral:lncRNA from 1 species